rnacentral:tRNA from 1 species
GCCCACAUAGCUCAGUUGGUAGAGCACGUCCAUGGUAAGGACGGGGUCGUCAGUUCGAUUCUGGCUGUGGGCACCA